UAAGGAAUAUUGGUCAAUGGACGCAAGUCUGAACCAGCCAUGCCGCGUGAAGGAUGAAGGUCCUCUGGAUUGUAAACUUCUUUUAUCUGGGACGAAAACGGGAUUUUUAUCUCAAUUGACGGUACCAGAGGAAUAAGCACCGGCUAACUCCGUGCCAGCAGCCGCGGUAAUACGGAGGGUGCGAGCGUUAUCCGGAUUUACUGGGUUUAAAGGGUGCGUAGGUGGGCUUAUAAGUCAGUGGUGAAAUCUCCGAGCUUAACUUGGAAACUGCCGUUGAUACUAUAGGUCUUGAAUUCUCUGGAGGUAAGCGGAAUAUGUCAUGUAGCGGUGAAAUGCUUAGAUAUGACAUAGAACACCAAUUGCGAAGGCAGCUUACUACAUAUAAAUUGACGCUGAGGCACGAAAGCGUGGGGAUCAAACA
rnacentral:rRNA from 1 species